UCCCAAGUACGUAACCUUUAGUCAUUCAUUACAUGAUAUUAAAUAAAUAGAUAUCAUAGUCUUCAUAGUCUUAUAAAACUAUUACAAAUACUGCCGUAAUUCUUAUUUGGUUAGCUUUCCUUUUCCUUUGUCUCGGCCUGAACUUUCUGGUCCUUCACACUUAGCUGAAAACAUUUAAAUUAAGCAAGGAUGAGCAUUUGAGUGCCCAGCAAGUAUUAUAUAUAUAUAUAGGCUGAAAGAAUUUAAAUGUUUUCUUUAUAAUAUCUUCUACAACUAGUCAGUAGUUGUGAAGUAAUCUGUACCAAUAAUAAUUCAUAACAACCCUCUUUCAAACUUUUGAAACUACGUAUUGACUGUAUAUGGGGUUUCUGUGACAUACCAUGAACAUUGUUUUUCAUUUUCGAAAAGGUUUAAACAGAAAUUCAUCUGUAAACCGUCAUGACUUACGGGUACGGAGGGUGAUCAGCCCUGUUGUACCCUGUAUUGAUCAAUACUACAUGUACAUGAACGAUGUUAUCGUUCGCUCUGUCCGCCUUGGGCGCAUAAAAUUUUCCCUUUAUCGGGAUGUUCA
rnacentral:lncRNA from 1 species